rnacentral:rRNA from 1 species
AUACGGAGGGUGCAAGCGUUAAUCGGAAUUACUGGGCGUAAAGCGUACGUAGGCGGUUAGUUAAGUUAGAUGUGAAAGCCCCGGGCUUAACCUGGGAACUGCAUUUAAAACUGGCUAACUAGAGUUAAGUAGAGGGGAGUGGAAUUUCAGGUGUAGCGGUGAAAUGCGUAGAGAUCUGAAGGAACACCAGUGGCGAAGGCGACUCCCUGGACUCGAACUGACGCUGAGGUACGAAAGCGUGGGUAGCAAACGGGAUUAGAUACCCCAGUAGUCC